CAGUUGUCACACACACACUAGUUAAUAGUUUCAGAAAGGUUUCAUUAAGUGAGGCAGUGGUGAGAAGGCGCAGCUGAUCCCGGCACGCGUGUGUGCCAGCAGCACGGGCUGACUGGCUUUCUGCUGGGUCCUGAGCGGGUGCGCAUGGUUGCCUGCAGGUUCCUUCAAGAAUGAAGAAGAAAUGGGAAGAGUACAUCAAAGUCAGUUUUUACUGCAGCGUGGGGUUUCCCAUGUCACCGGUCAGCAUUCCUGUGCCAACCCGUGCUGAUAAACUCCUGUAACGCACGGGAGAAGACAUGCUGCAUCGUGAAGAACAUGGAUCCUGAGAUACGAAAAAAGAGAAGAGAAAGCACAACGUGAUGUGUGAUCGCACAACAGAGUCAUUGAGACCGGAGCAUGCUUUAGAAACCUGUUCUACCUACAGAUGGGAUUUGGUAUUUUAAGGUUAAUAAAUUAUGGUGAAAGCCUUA